rnacentral:lncRNA from 1 species
ACCUACUAAUGCUAAUUUGGGCUAUAUAGUGGUGAUAAAGAUAGAAUUUAUCCCUGUCCUUCAGGGGGCUUAAAAUCUAAUGCUAGAAAGCAAAAAGGCAGAAAAGAAAAUAUAAUAAUAGUAACAAUAAUAUAAGAAGGAAAAAGAAGGAAAGAAAAAGAAAAACUAAUGUAGAGAAAUGAACACAUAUGCUAUCAUUAGGAGGAAAGGAUCUCCCAUUGUGGACCUGACUCCCGGCCUCUGGUGUAUUCUCUGGUGCCCAUUAUAAUUGGAAACAUGUUCCUCCAGUGUUUCUCUGAUGCAAUAUUUUCUGUUAAAUCCUUAUGUGGUUUUAGCCCUUUAUCAAUCUUCUCUUUCUCUCCAUACUUGAGAGAAGGCUAAUGUUUGCCCAGCUCUGCCUGAAAGUGGGUAAGAAUUUUGAAGUAGGGAGAAAUAUGGAGGAAAUACUUUUAAAAGAUGAUGGAUAUUAAGGAAGUCCAUCUAAAACAACUUUAUCAUUUGUGUGGAAUUCAGAGGAGCCAGAAGAUUGGAAUGAAUGCUUGCUCUGAAACUCCAAGAGAAAUGGAUCAAUGUGUAUAAGGAGUAUAAAUGAUGAGCAUUUUCAUUUUGGUAAUGCAUGUUGCUUUAAUGCACUUUCUUUAACAGAUAUUAUCUGCAAAAUAAAACAUAUGACAAGUCAUUUGAAAACUUUCUACAGAAUUUUUUUUGUGGAAAGAUAAGACAACCCAUCUUUGACUGAACAACUUAUUUCUUUGGCUGGAAAUAGUUUAUACAGACAAUAUUCAUGUAUAAGAUAUUAAAAUGGUCUUUAUAAAUAAAAAUAAUGCUACUGAUUUGACCAUGGAUUACUCUUUGUGGUGGUGGCAUAUCUGUGCCAUGAUCAAGUCCGUCUUUCAUCCAAUUUUCCUCCUAAUUAAAAACACACACCUAAGACAUGGCUGUCUGAGAUUAAAUAAAAAGAUCCUAUGGUGAUACACAAAAUCAUAUUGCUUAAAGAAGCAUUAAACCAUUAUUCUUGUCUCAAUGUAUUCUGACCAAGUAAGCAACUGGGCCUAGAGAUGAAGUCCCAUGAAAACUGUUGAAGUGUUUCAUGCAAUGAAUGAAUGCUAGCUAGAUAAAAAUCUUAAUGAAAGGACAUCUCAUUUCACUAAAAUAUGGCUUUUGAAAUGUUGGAUGAAGCAAUUGCUAAAGGCUUAUCCAAGAAAAAAAAAUAAAACCUUAUCAUAAGAUUAAAGAUUUCACAAAACCUAGAAAAAUUAGGAUGUGAUAACUAGGGGGAAGAUAAAUUUCCUUUAACUGAUAAAUAGGAAAGUGAUGAUAAAUUAAAUGUUCUGAACUCCAUGCCAGCAGGUAAAACAGAAAAAUACCAUCUAAUGAGAAGUCAUAAUGAGAAGUCAAUUACCUCAACACUGGUGUCAACUAAUGAGAUAGUUCAGAUGCUAAUAGAAAGAAUUGCCUACUUUUCCUCUCGCAUUUUCCAUGCAAUGAGACUCAGGGCAUAAAUGGAAAACUGCAUCUUCUUAGAAUUCAUGAUAUUUGAAAGAAAAGACUUCAAAAUUUACCAAAGUAGUAAUCUUUAUUAGAUAAGAGAAUAAGUGGGAUGCCUGGGUGGCUCAACGGUUGAGUGCCUGCCCUCAGCUCAGGGCAUGAUUCUGGAGUCCCGAUAUCGAGUCCCACAUUGGGCUCCCUGCAGGGAGCCUGCUUCUCCCUCUGCCUGUGUCUCUGUCUCUCUCUGUGUGCCUCUCAUGAAUAAAUAAUAAAAUCUUUAAAAAAAAGAUAAGAGAGUAAAAUUCAUUGUAAAGCGGGAAAGAUACUCCUGAAUCCUUUCCUAUUUAUCCCCUACACAUUUACUCUAUGCAUUUCAUCUACACUCAUAGCCUCAUCCACACACCCUUCUAUCCAUUCAUCUAUUCAUCUUUCCAUUUAUCCAUCCAUCUGUCCAUCCAUCCAUCUAUCCAUCCAUUCACAUAUGUUUAUAGUCUAUAAAUUGUACUUGCCUCUCAUGACAGGUAGGGGGUUUAGAGGCUAGAAAAAAUGUGUAGAUCACUUCUGCUGAGGCAGAAUUUCCAUUCCAAUAGGGAAGAAAGCAUUAAACACAAAUUGCUCAACACACCUCAGUAAGUGGUACGGUAUAAAAAAAUAAAGGAAACUUGUUCUAAUGUGAGGUCAUAGAAGACUUCUCUGAUAAAAAAUGUUUCAGCUGAGUAUUUGUAGAAUGAACUGGAAUGGACUAUGUGAAAGUUACAUAUGCAUGUGUUAGUGUACACAUGCAGAUGUACACAUAUAUGUGUGGGCACACAGGAGAUUUAUGUGUACAUGAAUCUAUGUGCAUGUACAUAUACUUGUAUAUGUGCACAUGUGUGCAUGUGUACAAUGAUGGUGUACAUGCAUGUAUUCACCUGUAUGUGCAUAUAUAUUUGCAUAUAUAUUUGCAUGUUUGUGCUGGUGCUUGAAUGUAUUUGUGUACAGAUAUGCAUGUAUAUUGGUGGGGCUGCUUUCUGAGUUGAGGUAACAGAGUGGAAAAGGAACUUCACAUAUGUCUCUGAGAACUGAAAUACAGAGCCUAAGCCUGAGGGAUAAGGUUGGAGACAUGCAGAAAAACCAGAUCACAGUGAUGUGCCAUCAUAUUAAGGAUAUGUCUCUUUUCCUAAGAGCUGUAUGUAAUUGCUUAUGUGACUCGUGCAGUGAAAUGACAGAAAUGAGAUGUAUGUUUCAGGAAAGUGUACUCUGGUUGUACGUACUACCGUAUCAACAACUCAGAAAUGGAUCUCUGGCCCCACUUUUCCUCCUAGACUCCAGGCCAAUAUUUACAGUUGUCUGCUAGACAUCUUCUACUAGACACUUAAAACUCAAAGCAGCUAAAAACAAAUUUGUUAUAUUAUUUCCACAAUACACUGUUGCUCUUUCUAAUACACAUUGGGGAAUGGCACCCUCCCCAAACCAUUACUUCAACCAGGAACUUUAGAGUCAAUACUCUUCCUUUUCAUUCUCUUCAACCACUGACAGAUAAACUGGUCAUCAAACUGGGGCAAGUGUGUCCCCUUUUUUUCCACUAGAAUUCCUCUUUUUUAGGAAUCCUAUACCAACUCUUCCUUAUACCAACUCCUUCUUCUACUGCCAUAGCCAUGGUGCAUCUGGUCUCUGAAGUCCAAUGAACCCUUUACCUAGCCAUUAUACCUGCCACUCUCUUUCUUAAGAGCUCCCAAGUAUUUACUAUUUCUCUUUGUAGCACAGUGUAGUGAGAAGAAUAGGGACUUGGAGUUUAGGUCUGGGUUGAAUUAUGACCUCAAACAACUACCAUCUGAAUUUGUUGAACAAGUUACCUGUGUCUGUUAAUUUUCCGGUUUAUUACUAUAAUGAAUGCAUGUAUGUAAUGUGGGUAGUUACCCAAUCUGAUGAGAUGAUGUAUUAAAAACAAUUAGCAUAGGACCUAGAUCAUAGUAAGUACUCCCCAAGUUUUUACAUCCUGGCUUUAACCCACUUUUUCCUCAUCUGCUACUAUUGUUUUCACCUACCCUACAACCUAAUUAUGCAUACACUCCCCCAUUUUCUGACUUCCCAUGUAAUGUCCCAUAAUAUUUCCAUGUCCUCCAAUGCCCUUUCCUAAUCUGUCUGACAAAAAUCCUGCUCCUCUUUGAGGAUGCAGUUCAAAAAGUAUUUUUAAGUAAAGACUUUGAUCGCCCACCACCUUUUGUAUUCCUUACAAAAAUCACUCACACCUUCUCUGAGUUCCUAUAACACUUUAUGUAAUCCUUCAUGUCCCUCUAAAUUGUUAGCUCAUUGGAGUUCAAAAGUAUCUUUCCUCAUUGUCUUCUACUCAGUAAAUAUUUGCUGGGAAAACAAUGGCAAGUUUAAGUUGAAAGAGAUACUCUAUGGGAAGAGCCAUCCCAGAAUGAACAGAAUCAGGGGACCAGGAGGCUUGACUUUGAGAACUGUUAAGCCCCUCUUGCUUCUUAUAUCUUCCCCCCAAAACCUGUCUCCUGAAAAUGUAUUUAUAACUGUGAGAUAUCAAGAAAAAUACUAAAUUGUACUUGUAUUUUCUUUAUUCUUUCCAACCCCAGGAAGUAUGGUAAGCAUUGUGUUUUCAAACACGAUUAUGCUCAAUAAUCCCAGGGAAAGGGAGAUACAGAAGAAUUUGGUUGAGGAAUGUAAGGGAAGGGAAAGAAAAGGACUCUGUCAUUUUCUUAAAAUUGCCAUAACAAAUUGGGUGGCAUAAAAUAACAGAAGUUUAUUUUUUGACUAUUCUGGAGACCAGAAGUCUGAAAUCAAGAUAUCUGCAGGGCCAUGUUGUCUGUGAAAGCUCUAGGGCAGAAUCUGUUCCCUGUUUCUCUCCUAGCUCCUGGUGUUGCUGGCAAUCCUGGGUGUUAGUUGGCUUAUAGACACAUCACUCCAAUCUCUGCCUCAGCUAUCACAUGAUAUUUUUCCUGUGUGUGCUGUGUCUUCUCAUAGCAUUUUCUUCUCUUUGUGUCUGUCUCUGUUUCUUUUCCUCUUCUUAUGAGGACACCAACCAUAUUGGAUUAGAGACCAACCCUACUCCAGAAUGAACCCACCCUAAUCACCUCCACAAAAGCCUUAUUUCUAAACAAGGUGACAUUUAUAGGGUUAGGACUUCAACCUAUAUUUUUUGUAUCUAGGAUCUAGGUGGCAGAGACCAGUGUUCUGCUUCCAUGAAGCACCUAGGAUAGAGAUGUUUACUGGAAGCUGGCUGGUGGUCAGUGGGAGCACAUCAUUGGCACCCAGAGCCAAAAAAGCAAAACAAAACAAAACAAAACAAAAAAACAAAAAAAAAUGACAAUAAAGAUGACCCCACCAUGAACUAAGAACUAUUUUCUUCUUCAAGCUUUUCUGUCAUCAUUAGCUAGAGAACCAUGUAUGACUCCAUUAUAAGAAAAGCAAAUCCUUGAAUUUCCUGCCAGUUCAGAAAAUGGGGGACUCUGGAAUGAUUUAAGGUUGGAUUAGAAAAAUAAAGACAAGCAGUAAUACGUACAUAUAAAUGGUCUGGCUAAACCUCAGACUCAUUUCACAAGUAUGACAGUAUGACACUCACUCUCUACAGAGUGAGGACAUUGAAAACACCUCCCUUGAAUCCUCCUCCAACUAUCUAAGAUGGCUACUGCUAGGCUGUUGGUCAUAUGCCAAGAACAAGAUAGAGGAAACAGCUGAUUUUUCCAGCAUAUGGAUUUUAGAGAGUUGGAAGUUAUCUUCUACCUGUGUAUUAAGUUUGCUCUGGGUCCAUUUUAUCUGCCCCUUAGGAAACAAGUGUAAUGAUAAGAAAGGUAAUUAAUUAUGAGCUGCUGGGGAUGUUUUAUCAGUAGAGCUGCUGUUUCAACAUUCACAUGAAUCCACUGGAUCUACCUAUUUCUCUGCAGUUUGGGACCACAUAGAAUCCUCCCUGGGAGCAACAACAAACAUGUAGGCUAUGAGCCCAGAUAUUGAAACAUGAUAUGAUUUAACAGAGAUCUCUGCCUACACCUAAAGGUGAGGGUUUCUUGCCCCCAUUUUGGGGUGUUGAGUUCUGUGACAGGGUAUUUCAUGCCUUGUUUGUCAUCUAAGUGACAAUACUGUCAUCAAAACCCAGGGAGUGACCUAGUCAUUCUGGCAGCCUAAAGUGAAUGCAACUCACAGAUCAGCAGCUUUGCAGACCAAGAAAUAGCCCUUUCAUAGAAGUUUGCUCAGAAAUAUGAGGUUUCUGUUAAGUUCUUGAUAGAAAGCUGAUCUUUAAUAAACCACUCAUUUCUAAGAUCCAAGAUCGAAUCACACAACCUAGAAAUCAAAGCAACAUCUUAGUAUCUUAGAUUAUUUGAUAAAGGUCACGCUGAACCAAUAAGAAAAAGCAAGACACUGGAUCCUAUUCUUAAGAAGAUUGAAAGAGAGACUAAACAUAAACAUAAGAAAGUACAAAUCUCUUUCCUAUUCAUGAAAAUUCUACACUAGUUUUUAUCUGAAAUUGAGUGGAAGAGAGGGAUGAUUUGGGGCUUUCAAAAUAACUCCUCUUACUGUCUCAAUAUCAACAUUCAAUUUUGAAAAUACCUCUUCUAGAUGUGAUUAUGUUUAGGUUUCUUCUUGUGCCUCUCAUUCCCUCAGAUACCUAUGGUUGCUAAAACAGAUUCAGUGGUCUGUUUCUAUGAAAAGGCUCUCCUUUAUUGUGAUUGACAGAGAAUAUUCUGUGAGCACGGGAGUAAAAUGCAAAACUAAACUACCUACAGGGAAGAAAAUACCGGGAUAUUUUCUUUGAGGGCAAAAAGACUGGUUUCCCCCUUCCCCUCACAUGACCAUUCACAUAUUUCAUUCAUGCUUAGACACAUUUUGUCUGGAAAAAAUUUGUCUUCUGUUUUGGUUAUUCCAAACAGAGCUGUUUUUUAGGCUUCCAUCAGCAGCCAAGACCAAAAAGAUUCUUAGUACAAAAAUAUCAGUAACAGCUAAGCCUUGGCAGGUUAGAAGAAAUUAGAGAAAGACUUGGCAAAGGCGUGGGAUAAAAUAAAAGAUAAACAUUUAUAGUUUUGCAGCAAACAGAAACCAAUAUGCAAUAUUUUUAUUUUAUGCAAGCUAAACUAAUAUUUUUUCCAAAUUCAUUUGAAAAUCUACAAGGUGUGAGAAGUACAGAAAAAGUAAUUGUACCUUAUAAUAUUCUUAUUUUCUAAUAUCUCAUAAGACUUAAACAAAAUUAAACAUAAAAAAGUUUCCAUAUAAAUUGGAAAUUUUCUAUGAUUUUAAAUAAAUAUGACAUUUUCUCCACCUAAGAAAACUUGAAAAAAAUAAUUUUAGCUUUUCCAUAACGUUUUAAAAAUAGACUCCCUCCUAUAAACCUGAAUUUAACAUAUAUUUUAGUUUGCCUUGUAUGAUAUACCUGUUGAUUUGGUAGAAUCAUUCAUAUAACCCCCUUUGAUUUUCAAAAGUGUCCUGAUUUAAACUAUAAAUCAUAUAGUCACUCUGUUUACAGAUGACUCUCCUUGGACACCCUCUGCUUAUGUUUUCCCCCAGCACUCUUCCAUAAUCUUUUACACCCUCCCCUCUGCAUAUAGUGAGAUAAUUGGGGUCCAAGGUGGAUUCUAACUAAUAAAUAAUAUAGUUACUUGAAAAUAUCUCAAACUAGGGAUGCCUGGAUGGCUCAGUGGUUAAGCUUCUGCCUUCAGCUUGGGGCAUGGUUGGGGGUCCUGGGAUUGAGUCCCACAUCAGGCUCCCUGAAGGGAAUCUGCUUCUCCCUCUGCCUAUGUCUCUGCCUUUCUCUCUAUGUGUCUCUCAUAAAUAAAUAAAUAAAAUCUUAAAAAUAAGAAAAUAUCUCAAACUAAAUGGAAAACUGUUUAGACCCUUGCAAAUAGCAUACAAAAUACCUAUAAAUACAUUUAUGAUUGUUCCUGUGGCAAAGACUAUGGUGUGGCUUCCUACUCCAUAACUGCUCUUCUCUAACUAUUAACUAGCUGAAUUCUGGUUUUGUUCAGGAAUUGGGUAACACUGUACUCAGGA